UACAGGGGGGGCAAGCGUUGUUCGGAAUUACUGGGCGUAAAGGGCCAGUAGGCGGCCAACUAAGUCCGACGUGAAAUCCCCAGGCUUAACCUGGGAACUGCGUCGGAUACUGGAUGGCUUGAAUUCGGGAGAGGGAUGCGGAAUUCCAGGUGUAGCGGUGAAAUGCGUAGAUAUCUGGAGGAACACCGGUGGCGAAGGCGGCAUCCUGGACCGACACUGACGCUGAGGAGCGAAAGCCAGGGGAGCAAACGGG
rnacentral:rRNA from 1 species